AAUGGGCAAUGUUUGUAUAUUAUGAGACUAUUGAUAUAUGAAACUGACAUUAUUAUUAUUAUUUUUAUUUAGAUUGGAGACACAUUGGACGCCUGGCAAAAAUUCCUUUCUGUUUAUGAUUUGGUAAUGGCUUGGUGCGAAAGCAAAACAAAAUAUUUAGAAGAUCCAAUUAAUUUAAGUUCAUUAGAAGCUGCAAAACAAAAAUCCCAUGAAUUUUCGGUAAUUUAUCAUUACAACUAAAUAUUGUAUUUUAAAUUCAACAUAACAUAGAUUUAAUCACGUAGGUAUUGUAACACUUGUUUACAGGUUGCUGUGAAAUCAUGCAAACAACAAACCAAAAACCUAGCUGAAAUGAGCAAAGAAUUGGAUAUUAUUGCCUUAUCAACUGAUGUUGGACAGCUGCCUGAAAAAUUAGAAGAAGCUAAUAAUGCCAAAAAUGAUGUUGAAGGAAAACUUUCAGAAAAGGUAAAUCAUAUUACUUAAAACAUUAUUAAAUAAUAAUUUGUUCAAAAUCUUUGAAUAAAAUAUAUUAUAAUAAAUUACAAUUGAUUAAAAUUAUGAAGAAUGCACUACUGCAUGAGACAUGUGAAGAAUGGGAGCAAUUUGAACGGAAAUUAAAAGAUGUUAAAUCAUUUAUUGACAAGUCUCAAAGUGCCAUAGAAUCUACUACUAAUAAAAAACGAACAUUACGUGAACAACAUGAUCUAAGAGAAAAAAUGUUGGCAGAUAUUACAAUACAAAGAAAAAAGAUUACAUUGUCUACUGAAAAAUUACAGGUUAGAUAAUGUGUAAAAUUGUCUGUUUAAAUAUGCCAUUACCUGGAUUUUUGAAUCUUAAAAAGUGGUGUACAGAAAUAAAGCAUUAAAUUAUUUUUUUGGUAAUAGUUGUAUUCUAUGAACUUGACACAAUAUAGUGAUGAAUUAUUUUAAAAUUUAAAUGUCAUAAUAAAUUUAAAACUUAAGUUGGAA
rnacentral:lncRNA from 1 species